rnacentral:lncRNA from 1 species
ACACCGCCCCCACCCCCGCCCACCCCAGGGAAGGUCUUUAUUCUUAAAUCUGCCUUUCUGACCUCUCUUCCCAAAUAUGUGUAUUUCUAACAGAUCUCCGAGUCGAGAUCACGCACACCGUUUUCCAUAAUCCAGGGAUUUGGAGCCGCCGGAGGGGCGAGGAAUGCUGAACUUUCUGAGAAGGCAGCCAGCAAGUUCCAGCCUCAUUUUCCAGCCGUCAGUCAAGAUGGAGUCACCGUGUUUCAUUCGCCUCUGACAACGGGUCCUCCCGGACGCCACGUGGCUUGUUCUGAAGCCGGGCCGGAGACACCGUCUGGACCCCACAGUGCUCCCCAGGGCCGCCUCCAAAAGGAUCCCACCCCAGGGAGCCGUGCAAACACCAUAAAUCCUGCUAAUUGCCACGUUCCCGGCAGCCAGAAUCCGUGGUCUCUCUAUAGUGGGCUCACGGUCUCCAGCCAAGAGCUCAAUCUUGCUUCUGGACAAAUAUUACCGAGAAAUGUCUGCAAACCCCGGCUGCCCGGCUCCCACAUCACAGGGGCUGCGUCUCAGAAAACAACUUGCUUCUGCCGAUCCACCCCCCACCACUGCCUCCCCGGGCACCUCGCCACACAGGACGCUCUGGCUUCCCGUAAGAACACCCGUGUCUGUGACCUGCGGGUGGGGUCACCUCCCCGGCCUACAUGCAAGACCCAGCACACAGGCCAGGACGUCAGGGUGUCGUGAGGGGCCGUCGGAGAACAUCUAAGGGACGUCCCUGCAUUCCUGGCUGGAGGUCCUGCACCAGCAGCCUCCGUGUGAGAAAACUUUCACUCUGCAAACUCUCAGAGCCCCCACCUGCUCCCGCCUCCCGUCUGUCCUGGUUCUUGGGACCCCGGAGCCUUCUCUGUCCAGACCUCCCAGGUCCUGACGGGAAUCCGGAUAAACUCGUUGGGGCGAAGGUGUUAACGGCAGGCCCCUGUCUAAUGUAUUUCGCCACCCAGAUAAAAUGAGUGUUUUCACAGCUGCCGUUAAUUUCUUACCCUGAGGAAGAAAGGAAGGACUUUGAGGCACCUGCGGCCGGGUUGGGGUGCGGCAGGGGGAUUUCUGGACGCGGACGGUGUGUGGGGAGUUCCUGGGGUCCCUAGAGCCACACCACGUAGGUGGCAG